rnacentral:misc_RNA from 1 species
UCCGGUUUGUCACCGGCAGUCUGGCGUGAGUCCCCAACUUAAUGAUGGCAACACGCCACAGGGGUUGCGCUCGUUGCGGGACUUAACCCAACAUUUCACAACACGAGCUGACGACAGCCAUGCACCACCUGUGAAUCACCCUCGAAGGCGACUACUUUUCGGUAGCUUACAGAUCCAUGUCAAGCCCAGGUAAGGUUCUUCGCGUUGCAUCGAAUUAAAGAACAUGCUCCGCUGCUUGUGCGGGCCCCCGUCAAUUCUUUUGAGUUUUAACCUUGCGGUCGUAAUCCCCAGGCGGGGUGCUUAAUGCGUUAGCUACGGCACGGAGGGAGUGGAUAACCCCCCACACCUAGCACCCAUCGUUUACGGCGUGGACUAC